UAACACGUAGGGAANCUGCCCGCGCACCGGGAAUACGCUCUGGAAACGGAGAACAAAUCCCGAUGUACAGGAAGGAGGCAUCUUCUUUCUGUGAAACAUCCUUUAGGGGAUGGGGCGCGGAUGGACCUGCGGUGCAUUAGUUUGUUGGCGGGGUAAAGGCCCACCAAGACGAUGAUGCAUAGCCGGCCUGAGAGGGCGGACGGCCACAUUGGGACUGAGACACGGCCCAGACUCCUGCGGGAGGCAGCAGUAGGGAAUUUUCGUCAAUGGGCGCAAGCCUGAACGAGCGAUGCCGCGUGAGUGAAGAAGGCCUUCGGGUCGUAAAGCUCUGUUGCGGGGGAAAAAAGGCAGCAUCAGGAAAUGGGUGCUGACUGAUGGUGCCCCGCCAGAAAGUCACGGCUAACUACGUGCCAGCAGCCGCGGUAAUACGUAGGUGGCGAGCGUUAUCCGGAAUGAUUGGGCGUAAAGGGUGCGCAGGCGGUCCUGCAAGUCUGGAGUGAAACGCAUGAGCUCAACUCAUGCAUGGCUUUGGAAACUGGAGGACUGGAGGGCAGGAGAGGGCGGUGGAACUCCAUGUGUAGCGGUAAAAUGCGUAGAUAUAUGGAAGAACACCAGUGGCGAAGGCGGCCGCCUGGCCUGUUGCUGACGCUGAGGCACGAAAGCGUGGGGAGCAAAUAGGAUUAGAUACCCUAGUAGU
rnacentral:rRNA from 1 species